rnacentral:rRNA from 1 species
CCCUUAGAUGUUCUGGGCCGCACGCGCGCUACACUGAUGCAUUCAACGAGUCUAAAACCUGGUCUGAUAGGGCUGGGUAAUCUUUUGAAAGUGCAUCGUGAUUGGGAUAGAUGAUUGCAAUUCUUCAUCUUCAACGAGGAAUGCCUAGUAAACGCAAGUCAUCAGCUUGCAUUGAUUACGUCCCUGCCCUUUGUACACACCGCCCGUCGCUCCUACCGAUUGAGUGGUCCGGUGAGGCUUUGGGAUCUGAGCGGAAAGAGCGUUUCGCUCGUUCUGCCCGGAAAACUCAGUCGAACCUUAUCAUUUAGAGGAAGGAGAAGUCGUAACA